AACGAACGCUGGCGGCAUGCCUAACACAUGCAAGUCGAACGAGACCUUCGGGUCUAGUGGCGCACGGGUGCGUAACGCGUGGGAAUCUGCCCUUGGGUUCGGAAUAACAGUUAGAAAUGACUGCUAAUACCGGAUGAUGACUUCGGUCCAAAGAUUUAUCGCCCAAGGAUGAGCCCGCGUCGGAUUAGCUAGUUGGUGAGGUAAAGGCUCACCAAGGCGACGAUCCGUAGCUGGUCUGAGAGGAUGAUCAGCCACACUGGGACUGAGACACGGCCCAGACUCCUACGGGAGGCAGCAGUGGGGAAUAUUGGACAAUGGGCGAAAGCCUGAUCCAGCAAUGCCGCGUGAGUGAUGAAGGCCUUAGGGUUGUAAAGCUCUUUUACCCGGGAUGAUAAUGCAGUACCGAAGAAUAAG
rnacentral:rRNA from 1 species